rnacentral:tRNA from 1 species
GGGGGCGUGUUGUAAUCGGCAGCCUGAUUGUUUACCAAACCAUCGGAGCGGGUUCAAAUCCCGUCGCCUCCACCA